UACGGAGGGUGCAAGCGUUAUCCGGAUUCACUGGGUUUAAAGGGCGCGUAGGUGGGCAGGUAAGUCCGUGGUGAAAUCUCUGAGCUUAACUCAGAAACUGCCGUGGAUACUAUUUGUCUUGAAUGUUGUGGAGGUGAGCGGAAUAUGUCAUGUAGCGGUGAAAUGCUUAGAUAUGACAUAGAACACCAAUUGCGAAGGCAGCUCACUACACAAUUAUUGACGCUGAGGCACGAAAGCGUGGGGAUCAAACAGG
rnacentral:rRNA from 1 species